GACGAACGCUGGCGGCGUGCUUAACACAUGCAAGUCGAGCGGUAAGGCCCUUUCGGGGUACGACGAGCGGCGAACGGGUGAGUAACACGUGGGUGACCUGCCCUCCAGCUCUGGGAUAAGCCUGGGAAACCGGGUCUAAUACUGGAUAUGACUCCAUGACGCAUGUUGUGGGGUGGAAAGCCUUGUGCGGCUGAGGAUGGGCCCGCGGCCUAUCAGCUUGUUGGUGGGGUGAUGGCCUACCAAGGCGACGACGGGUAGCCGGCCUGAGAGGGCGACCGGCCGACACUGGGACUGAGACACGGCCCAGACUCCUACGGGAGGGCAGCAGUGGGGAAGUCUUGCGCAAUGGGCGAAAGCCUGACGCAGCGACGCCGCGUGAGGG
rnacentral:rRNA from 1 species